AUUGAACGCUAGCGGGAUGCUUUACACAUGCAAGUCGAACGAGUGGCGGACGGGUGCGUAAUAUAUCGGAACGUGCCCCUUAGCGGGGGAUAACUACUCGAAAGAGUGGCUAAUCCCGCAUACUAUUGGAGCGGCCGAUCUCGGAUUAGCUAGUUGGUGGGGUAAAGGCGCCCCCAGGCAACGAUCCGUAGCUGGUUUGAGAGGACGACCAGCCACACUGGGACUGAGACACGGCCCAGACUCCAACGGGAGGCAGCAGUGGGGAAGUUUGGACAAGGGGGGCAACCCUGAUCCAGCCAUCCCGCGUGUAUGAGAAGGCCUUCGGGUUGUAAAGUACUUUUGGCAGAGAAGCGGUAUCUGCAGAAUAAGCACCGGCUAACUACGUGCCAGCAGCCGCGGUAAUAC
rnacentral:rRNA from 1 species